rnacentral:lncRNA from 1 species
GUCCCCUGGAGCACCCCGUCUCCUCUCUCUCUCCUCUGUCCCUUGGAGCACCCCGUCUCCUCUCUCUCUCCUCUGUCCCCUGGAGCACCCCGUCUCCUCUCUCUCUCCUCUGUCCCCUGGAGCACCCCGUCUCCUCUCUCUCUCCUCUGUCCCCUGGAGCACCCCGUCUCCUCUCUCUCCUCUGUCCCCUGGAGCACCCCGUCUCCUCUCUCUCUCCUCUGUCCCCUGGAGCACCCCAUCUCCUCUCUCUCUCCUCUGUCCCCUGGAGCACCCCGUCUCCUCUCUCUCUCCUCUGUCCCUUGGAGCACCCCGUCUCCUCUCUCUCUCCUCUGUCCCUUGGAGCACCCCGUCUCCUCUCUCUCUCCUCUGUCCCCUGGAGCACCCCGUCUCCUCUCUCUCUCCUCUGUCCCCUGGAGCACCCUGUCUCCUCUCUCUCUCCUCUGUCCCCUGGAGCACCCCGUCUCCUCUCUCUCCUCUGUCCCCUGGAGCACCCCAUCUCCUCUCUCUCUCUCCUCUGUCCCCUGGAGCACCCCGUCUCCUCUCUCCUCCUCCAUCGACUCAGCAUCUUAUGCGGUGCAGCUAGAGGACACGCUUGUUGUGCUCUUGAAGCUCUGUCUUUAAGAAAUGCAGAUUUGAGCGGUUGAUACAAACCCUCUGUCAGGUCUGGGUUUCUGUUUCAGGAUCAACUCUGCUUUCUAAUUUCUACUUUCAUAUUAUUUCCUCACCUGAGAAUCAUGUACUAACUGAAUACUAAACAGCAUCUACUAUAUAUGAUGUUGACCUUUGACCCACUCAAGCCGAGAUAAUCUAUCUCAGUAAUAGAACUGAGUGAAGGUAUUGUAGGACAUCGUGAUCCCCACUCAACCUUAUGAGUGCCUUUUUCAGAUGGACUCAGGCUUGGUGCCCUUUAGACAGAGUGAACCAGUGGCCCAGAGAGCAUCAUGGACUACCACUGUGGAGUGAGGUGAUGGAUACUCGGCUCUCUCUCUGUCUCUCUCUCUCUCUCUCUGUCUGUCUCUUUCUCUGUCUCUCUCUGUCUCUCUCGCUCUCGCAUAAAGCAACACAAUGGCUCUGGAGAAUUAGAAUAUUUUAUGAUUGGGUACAUCCCAUUCAUUUGGACUUGUGUAUCCCUCUAAUAACAGUUUUGAUUUGUAUUCUUUUCUCUUCCAUUCAGUUUGGUUUCAAAUAACACUUUGCCUACAUGUUGUUCAUGCGUUACUAAUUUAACUGGUCAGAUGGUUUGUUUACAUCAUAUGCUUUUAUAUCUAGUUGUUGUUUAGACAAGACUCAUAUCUGCUGUCCAGUGUUCAGUCCUCAUUACCUGGCCCGUAGUGGUUGCAGAAAUGUGACAUCAUAUGUAUAGUAGAGUGGGUAUGAUGGGUGAUGUCCCAGACCAGAUAUAGUAGAGUGGGUAUGAUGGGUGAUGUCCUAGACCAGAUAUAGUAGAGUGGGUAUGAUGGGUGACUGGGGUGAUGUCCUAGACCAGAUAUAGUAGAGUGGGUAUAAUGGGUGAUGUCCUAGACCAGAUAUAGUAGAGUGGGUAUGAUGGGUGACUGGGGUGAUGUCCUAGACCAGAUAUAGUAGAGUGGGUAUGAUGGGUGAUGUCCCAGACCAGAUAUAGUAGAGUGGGUAUGAUGGGUGAUGUCCUAGACCAGAUAUAGUAGAGUGGGUAUGAUGGGUGACUGGGGUGAUGUCCUAGACCAGAUAUAGUAGAGUGGGUAUGAUAUGUGAUGUCCUAGACCUGAUAUAGUAGGGUGGGUAUGAUGGGUGACUGGGGUGAUGUUCUAGACCUGAUAUAGUAGAGUGGGUAUGAUGGGUGAUGUCCUAGACCAGGUAUACUAGAGUGGGUAUGAUGGGUGAUGUCCUAGACCAGAUAUAGUAGAGUGGGUAUGAUGGGUGAUGUCCUAGACCUGAUAUAGUAGAGUGGGUAUGAUGGGUGAUGUCCUAGACCAGGUAUAGUAGAGUGGGUAUAAUGGGUGAUGUCCUAGACCUGAUAUAGUAGAGUGGCUAUGAUGGGUGAUGUCCUAGACCAGGUAUAGUAGAGUGGGUAUGAUGGGUGAUGUCCUAGACCAGAUGUAGUAGAGUGGGUAUGAUGGGUGAUGUCCUAGACCAGAUGUAGUAGAGUGGGUAUGAUGGGUGAUGUCCUAGACCAGAUGUAGUAGAGUGGGUAUGAUGGGUGAUGUCCCAGACCAGAUAUAGUAGAGUGGGUAUGAUGGGUGAUGUCCUAGACCAGAUAUAGUAGAGUGGGUAUGAUGGGUGACUGGGGUGAUGUCCUAGACCAGAUAUAGUAGAGUGGGUAUAAUGGGUGAUGUCCUAGACCAGAUAUAGUAGAGUGGGUAUGAUGGGUGACUGGGGUGAUGUCCUAGACCAGAUAUAGUAGAGUGGGUAUGAUGGGUGAUGUCCCAGACCAGAUAUAGUAGAGUGGGUAUUAUGGGUGAUGUCCUAGACCAGAUAUAGUAGAGUGGGUAUGAUGGGUGACUGGGGUGAUGUCCUAGACCAGAUAUAGUAGAGUGGGUAUGAUGGGUGAUGUCCUAGACCUGAUAUAGUAGGGUGGGUAUGAUGGGUGACUGGGGUGAUGUUCUAGACCUGAUAUAGUAGAGUGGGUAUGAUGGGUGAUGUCCUAGACCUAUGUAUACUAGAGUGGGUAUGAUGGGUGAUGUCCUAGACCAGAUAUAGUAGAGUGGGUAUGAUGGGUGAUGUCCUAGACCUGAUAUAGUAGAGUGGGUAUGAUGGGUGAUGUCCUAGACCAGGUAUAGUAGAGUGGGUAUAAUGGGUGAUGUCCUAGACCUGAUAUAGUAGAGUGGGUAUGAUGGGUGAUGUCCUAGACCAGGUAUAGUAGAGUGGGUAUGAUGGGUGAUGUCCUAGACCAGAUGUAGUAGAGUGGGUAUGAUGGGUGAUGUCCUAGACCAGAUGUAGUAGAGUGGGUAUGAUGGGUGAUGUCCCAGACCAGAUAUAGUAGAGUGGGUAUGAUGGGUGAUGUCCUAGACCAGAUAUAGUAGAGUGGGUAUGAUGGGUGACUGGGGUGAUGUCCUAGACCAGAUAUAGUAGAGUGGGUAUAAUGGGUGAUGUCCUAGACCAGAUAUAGUAGAGUGGGUAUGAUGGGUGACUGGGG